UUCCGGUAACACGGAAUGGAGGACCGAACCGCCAGACGUUGAAAAGUCUUCGGAUGACUUGUGGGUAGGGGUGAAAGGCCAAUCAAACUCGGUAAUAGCUCGUACUCCCCGAAAUGCAUUUAGGUGCAGCGUUGAGAUAGAGUGUCAUAGAGGUAGAGCUACUGAUUGGGCUAGGGGGCUUCACCGCCUACCAAACCCUGACAAACUCCGAAUGCUAUGAAAUAUACUCGGGAGUGAGGGCAUGGGUGCUAAGGUCCAUGUCCGAGAGGGAAAGAACCCAGACCAUCAGCUAAGGUCCCCAAAUAUAUGUUAAGUUGAACUAACGAAGUUCGAUUGCUUAGACAGCUAGGAUGUUGGCUUGGAAGCAGCCAUUCAUUUAAAGAGUGCGUAACAGCUCACUAGUCGAGCGGUUUAGCAUGGAUGAUAAUCGGGCAUAAAGCAUAUUACCGAAGCUAUGGAAUCGAAUUUAUUCGAUUGGUAGGGGAGCAUUCCAGUCUGCGCCGAAGGUGAAUCGUAAGAUUUGCUGGAGCGUCUGGAAAAGCAAAUGUAGGCAUAAGUAACGAUAAUGCAGGUGAGAAACCUGCACACCGAAAGACUAAGGUUUCCUGAUCAACGCUAAUCGGAUCAGGGUUAGUCGGGACCUAAGGCGAGGCCGAAAGGCGUAGUCGAUGGAAAACUGGUUAAUAUUCCAGUACCUACUAACAACGAGGUGAUGGGAGGACGCAUAGAGCUAAGCGCUGUCAGCUGAUGGAAUAGCUGGCCGAAGGGCGUAGUUGGUGUGGUAGGCAAAUCCGCCACACAAUACAACGAGGCCUGAUAGGCUCUCAAUCCUCUUCGGAGGAGCGAGAGUGAGCGUGAUGCUGUCGUGCCGAGAAAAGUCUCUAAACCGUUUGAGUUGUUAGUAGCCCGUACCGUAAACCGACACAGGUGGGUGAGAUGAGUAUUCUAAGACGCGUGGAAGAACCCUGGUCAAGGAACUCUGCAAACUAGCACCGUAUCUUCGGUAUAAGGUGUGCCUCCGCGAGGAGGUCGCAGCAAAGAGUCCCUGCCGACUGUUUAGCAAAAACACAGCACUCUGCUAACUCGCAAGAGGAUGUAUAGGGUGUGACGCCUGCCCGGUGCUGGAAGGUUAAGGGGAUCCGUUAGCCGUAAGGCGAAGCGGUGAACCGAAGCCCCAGUAAACGGCGGCCGUAACUAUAACGGUCCUAAGGUAGCGAAAUUCCUUGUCGGG
rnacentral:rRNA from 1 species